UGGAACGGCUUGGUCGGGGCU
rnacentral:misc_RNA from 1 species